AAAUUGAAGAGUUUGAUCAUGGCUCAGAUUGAACGCUGGCGGCAGGCCUAACACAUGCAAGUCGAACGGUAACAGGAAGCAGCUUGCUGCUUUGCUGACGAGUGGCGGACGGGUGAGUAAUGUCUGGGAAACUGCCUGAUGGAGGGGGAUAACUACUGGAAACGGUGGCUAAUACCGCAUAACGUCGCAAGACCAAAGAGGGGGACCUUCGGGCCUCUUGCCAUCAGAUGUGCCCAGAUGGGAUUAGCUUGUUGGUGAGGUAACUGCUCACCAAGGCGACGAUCCCUAGCUGGUCUGAGAGGAUGACCAGCCACACUGGAACUGAGACACGGUCCAGACUCCUACGGGAGGCAGCAGUGGGGAAUAUUGCACAAUGGGCGCAAGCCUGAUGCAGCCAUGCCGCGUGUAUGAAGAAGGCCUUCGGGUUGUAAAGUACUUUCAGCGGGGAGGAAGGUGUUGUGGUUAAUAACC
rnacentral:rRNA from 1 species